rnacentral:lncRNA from 1 species
CCACUUGUGGCUUACAAUGAUAUACAGUGGGAUUCAUUGUCCUCUUCUGGACAGUGUUAAUCUGUGGCGUCUACUCUCGACCAGCAAGAACGACAUGACCACCAGUUCUUCUAACAGCAGUUUAUUCAGCAUGCUUCAAUCUUCAUCUCUCUCACUUCAUCUUUUUUUCUCCCCCGAACCCUGGGCCUCUCGCUCUUAUAUACUCUCAGCCCCCAUCCACUCACGGCAGGCGACGUCACCUCACCAGGCACGCAGCUUCAGCUAAUCAGGGUGGCAGGGGCACAUCUCCACCAAAUAUGGACUUAUCUACACCACCAGCAUCAUGGUGCACCUGCGCAGCUCUCAUGAUGGUCGUGGCUAUUUUCAGGUGUAUGAGGAAGUCAGGUGCAAGUCAUAAGACUUAGCUGCAGUCCCAGGUGCCAUCUUGGGACUGCUGCCACACCCACUCCUCUCAUCUCCCCCUUUUUUCUUUUUUGGCAGAGAGAAUGUCUGUCUUAGAUUGCCCCCUGCAGCAAUGCCCCUUACCCGUCCUUGGGAGACAAACAGCAUUGGUUUGAUCCCUGUCUUUGGUUGGUGACAGGCCCAAGGAGUCUUAUCCGUCAUUGACUACUUCUCUAUCAUGCCAAGCCACACUUGAGCAGAUUGUCCUGUCUGCAUGCGGCAGGCGCACCAGAAGGGCAGGACGCUGAUUAAUCUAUGGCCCGAUUUUGAUUGCUACAAGCAAGCCUCAUGGGUGAAGGUAGAGGUCUGAUCCCCAGUGUGCAAGCAUAGGGGCCCUACACAAAACCAUCCCUUGGGCUCAUCACCCAGAGAGGUUUUGGCCAGCUCCUGUGUCCUUUUUCCUGGGGGAAGGGAACUAGGACACUGAACCUUCAUGCAAUCAGACGUGCCUUCCACAGGAUGCCAGUAGCAAGCUCCUCUGUGCAGUGCUUAGCCUCGCAACCCAUGGCAUAACGCAGCAUUAUUUCUUUAGAGCAGCAAGCCAAAUCUGAGGAGAUUGUCCUGCCUCCACUGCGGCAAAGGCUUGCGCCACCAUGGCAGAAGUGCGGGCCUGCACACGCUGCACCCAACACAUACACCAAACACACAACACACACACUAUUACAAGCAUACAUCCCAGGGCUCCCAUCAACACUGAGGCAAGGGAUCAGUGCAACUACCAUUCACCCCACAUAACAACCAUACAUAUAAGGGGCACUGCCCAAGGUGGAAGGGAAUCAGGAACACUCCUACAAAAAGGAAGGGGGCCCAUCUAGGUUAGGAGGGUAUAGUGCCAUUGCCCUUGGAUAUACUGGCAGGUCACACCCCUCGAAUCCAGGUAGCAUUAGCUUUAGUAGAUACAGCUGAACACAAUCACUCAUCUGUGAAAUAUUUUGAAUCAUCUGAAAACACAACAAUCCCUUUAGCUGAAGCAGCAUAGAAAAAAAGGCAAUUGUAGUGAAGCAUUAGAUGUAAAGAAUUGAGGAAACACUUGAAUGCAUCAAUGGCAUUGAUUUCAGGAACAUAGACAUAAUUCCCCAAUGCAGCUCUUCAGUUCUCACUAGCGGGAGCAUUCCCAGCCACAGGAACAUCCAUGUCCUCAUAGCUCUGCUUGUUUUGAAUUGCUCUGGUCAACCGUUCUGGGACCCACAGCUGUUGUCGAUGAUCCUGAGGAAACAAACAAACAGACCCUCUCUCCCAAACCAAACAAUUGAUUCACACAUCUAUUUUCCUUUCCUUUCCUCUCUUUCCUUUCCUCUUUCCUUUCCUCUCUUUCCUUUCCUUUCCUUUCCUUUCCUUUCCUUUCCUUUCCUUUCCUUUCCUUUCCUUUCCCUUUCCCUUUCCUUUCCUUUCCUUUCCUUUCCUUUCCUUUCCUUUCCUUUCCUUUCCUUUCCUUUCCUUUCCUUUAACUUGUCCCAAAACCGGGAACCUUAUCGUCUCAAUCCGAGAACUUAAAUUGUCCCACUUACCCGGGAACCUUACCCUGCCAGCAAACACUGACUGCUCAAAGUUCUAAACUCAUUGGUGGGAGAGUCGGUUCUCUGUAUGGGCCACCAUUUGUCGCGUCAGCUCUCGACCAGCAAGAACGACACGAUCACCAGUUCUUCUAACAGCAGUUUAUUCAGCAUGCUUCAAUCUUCAUCUCUCUCACUUCAUCUUUUUUUCUCCCCCCAAACCCCGGGCCUCUCACUCUUAUAUACUCUCAGCCCCCAUCCACUCACAGCAGGUGACAUCACCUCACCAGGCAUGCAGCUUCAGCCAAUCAGGGUGGCAGGGGCACAUCUCCACCAAAUAUGGACUUAUCUACACCACCAGCAUCAUGGUGCACCUGCGCAGCUCUCAUGAUGGUCGUGGCUAUUUUCAGGUGUAUGAGGAAGUCUGGUGCAAGUCAUAUGACUUAGCUGCAGUCCCGGGCGCCAUCUUGGGACUGCUGCCACACCCGCUCCUCACAUUAACCUGUGUAUCUCUGGCCUCUAACUCAGAAAACUCAGAGAUCCUCCUUCCUCUAUCUCCUGAGUGGUGGGGUUAAAGGUAUGCACCACCACCU